rnacentral:rRNA from 1 species
AUUGAACGCUGGCGGCAGGCUUAACACAUGCAAGUCGAGCGGGGUGAUGGUGCUUGCACUAUCACUUAGCGGCGGACGGGUGAGUAAUGCUUAGGAAUCUGCCUAUUAGUGGGGGACAACAUCUCGAAAGGGAUGCUAAUACCGCAUACGUCCUACGGGAGAAAGCAGGGGAUCACUUGUGACCUUGUGCUAAUAGAUGAGCCUAAGUCGGAUUAGCUAGUUGGUGGGGUAAAGGCCUACCAAGGCGACGAUCUGUAGCGGGUCUGAGAGGAUGAUCCUCAACACGGGGACUGAGACGCGGCCCAGACUCCUAAGGGAGGCAGCAGUGGGGAAUGUUGGACAAUGGGGGGAACCCUGAUCCAGCCAUGCCGCGUGUGUGAAGAAGGCCUUAUGGUUGUAAAGCACUUUAAGCGAGGAGGAGGCUUACCUAGUUAAUACCUGGGAUAAGUGGACGUUACUCGCAGAAUAAGCACCGGCUAACUCUGUGCCAGCCGCCGCGGUAA